rnacentral:rRNA from 1 species
AUGAGGCGGGCUGGACCUCUCGGGGUUACAGCCUUGCUGAAUUAUUCACCCUUGUCUUUUGCGUACUUCUUGUUUCCUUGGUGGGUUCGCCCACCACUAGGACAAACAUAAACCUUUUGUAAUUGCAAUCAGCGUCAGUAACAAAUUAAUAAUUACAACUUUCAACAACGGAUCUCUUGGUUCUGGCAUCGAUGAAGAACGCAGCGAAAUGCGAUAAGUAGUGUGAAUUGCAGAAUUCAGUGAAUCAUCGAAUCUUUGAACGCACAUUGCGCCCUUUGGUAUUCCAAAGGGCAUGCCUGUUCGAGCGUCAUUUGUACCCUCAAGCUUUGCUUGGUGUUGGGCGUCUUGUCUCUAGCUUUGCUGGAGACUCGCCUUAAAGUAAUUGGCAGCCGGCCUACUGGUUUCGGAGCGCAGCACAAGUCGCACUCUCUAUCAGCAAAGGUCUAGCAUCCAUUAAGCCUUUUUUUCAACUUUUGACCUCGGAUCAGGUAGGGAUACCCGCUGAACUUAAGCAUAUCAAUA